rnacentral:rRNA from 1 species
UACAGAGGUCUCAAGCGUUGUUCGGAUUCAUUGGGCGUAAAGGGUGCGUAGGCGGCGCGGAAAGUUGGGUGUGAAAUCCCUCGGCUUAACCGAGGAACUGCGCCCAAAACUACCGUGCUCGAGGGAGACAGAGGUGAGCGGAACUUAGGGUGGAGCGGUGAAAUGCGUUGAUAUCCUAAGGAACACCAGUGGCGAAAGCGGCUCACUGGGUCUCUUCUGACGCUGAUGCACGAAAGCUAGGGUAGCGAACGGG